GGUGAGGUCGCAUAGCGGUCUAGUGCACACGAUUGGAGAUCGUGAGUAGCCGCAAGGUUACCGUGGGUUCGAAUCCCACCCUCACCG
rnacentral:tRNA from 2 species